UAGGGGGGAAGACGCCCGAACAGUACGGGUAAAUCCAUCGAUCAAAAUACCGGCGGGAUCCCUGAAGACACACGCGAUUGCACCCGAGGUGGAAUUAGGGGUAAAAGCCCCAUCAAUGUUUGCCUUGAAACUGCCAUGAACCGGUGGAGUCCAAAGUCGAUUAGGGUUGAGCAGAGGAGAUUCGGGAAUGGCCAAUUGCUGCAAAGAGUGUCUGUACAGCGAUUCUUCUGCAAGGGCCACAUCUACAAGCUGAUCUGGAGCUGUCCGUUGCCGGCGAAAAGUGAAAUGAUUGCGAGCCUUCCAUAUGUGCCAGAGGAUGAAGGCAAUGAUCUCUUUGGAAGAUAAGAUGAUCAGCUGAAGGAGCUUGACUUAAUGGAAUAGUACUAAUCUCCUCAACAAUGUGAUGGUCGAAGUGCCGUUGAAGAAGAGGGAUAUUCCAAACCUGAUGCUGAGGGACUAUGAAGCCAGCAACCAGUUUGGAUUCUGCAUGAGGAGCUGGUCCGCCAAUGAUUCCAGAGAUAGACUUGCUGCUGGGUGUUGCUGAAGAGGGAUUUGCUCCACUUGGCAAGAGCAAAUGAAGUGCGUUGAAGCUUGCUAGUCAAGGAUGGAGGCCGCGUUGUUGGUGAAGUCCAUGCAUUGCUAAUGAUCGAUUUGCAAUCUUCCUCUUGAAGCCAGAAAGCUUCAAAGAAGAAAGUUUUCCUCCUUUUAGAAGAGGUCGGUUCAGUGAGUAAGAGAAGAGGACUGUGAUCGGAGGCUAAAGCUGGGAAAGCAAAAACUUCUGCAGCCGGUGGUAAAGGAUGUCAUUAUAGUCUCCUAUGCACACCCAUGGAAAGGAACUUGAAGUCCGAAUCUGUUUGAUAUCUGUCCAGACUUGCUGUCGAUGAUGGUAAAUCGAAGGCGCGUGAAGACAGGUCAGCAGAAGGAGAAGGCCGCUGCAUAGUUGAUGAAUGUUUUGCUUUAUUUGCCCAUGUUUCUGAAUGCUGAUGAAGAAGCUGAGGGGCUGGAAGGAGUAAAGGAGCUGUUUGCGGUUGAGUUUCUGUUUUUCUAUCGAUACUUCAUCUUCCCAGAUGUCCACACCUUGUUCAGGCCAGAGUCUUCCAAGUCGUUGGCAGAGAGCAGCAACUCAAG